GAAAGAUGUCAGCCAUCACUGUCACAAGAGCUGUAGCCUGUGGAAAAAUGACAGAGAUGGGAGCAUGUAGGGUUUUAAGGUGGUUCCAGCUGGAGAUGACAGAGGAGAUGAGAAGACAGCAGGAGCAAGGGAGAGAUGCCCAUGCAUCUCAAACUGCAUGAAACAACAGAAGGAGUUUUACCAUCUCCAGUCCUUGUCCCCUGGCUGAGCAAGCUUUCAUGGUGCAAGGUUGAAUGAAACACCUCAGCAGUGGUAGUGGUGGUGGGGUUUAGCCAAAUGCUCCAGAAGCAAUGGGCUAACAGGAAGCCUGACACAACAAGUGACCACUUGCCAGCUGCUGACCAUAGGGAGAAAAACAUGUCAAAGCAGGAACCCAGAAGUAAAAGAGAAUAUUUUUGCUCUGUUCUGCAUAUCCUUCGAGAAAAGAGGCUUCAGGAACUUGGCUGGAAGAGAAAGCCCACAGGAACACUCCCAGGACUCAAAGACAUGUUCCAGAGGGAGUCUGUCGAAAUGCU
rnacentral:lncRNA from 14 species